AAUGCAGUCCAUGCGUCUGUAUCGAUUCGCUCGAUCGAGUCAUUUUUAUGUUUCGUCCCAAAAAAGAUCCGAAUCGUUUGUAAAUCUCAUCACUGUUAGAGAUCCUCUUCCCUUAACACAGAAUGGAAUCAUCAGAGGAAAAAUCUGCUUCUUAAUCAAUUAGUUUCAGCGUUUGUAUCUCUCUCUCUGGAUCGAUGUCAGAUCCUACAGUCUCUUCUCUGGAGGCGUGGUGAGAUCGUGCACCAGCUCGUACAAUACACCUGUCAAUCCAGUACCUAAACCUGAUGGUACCUGGCGUUUUACACAAGAUUUACGACUCUGUGGUCUGUGUGUUCUGGUAUCUGCUGAGUCACCAGAAAUCUGCCAAGACACUGACACUUGCGCCUGCUCCAACAUCUGGCACAUAAGGGCUUUAAGGUUUCCAGAACCAAGCUGCAAUAUUGCAUGGACACUUAAGUAUUUGAACUUUUGAAGUUUUGAACUUUCUCAAGGCUGUCAUUCUAGACACAAAAUGCCCUGCAACUAAACAUGCACUGAUGUCUUUUCUGGGUCAGAAAAUGGAUCCCUGACUGCUCUUUAUAUGACAAGCUUCUCCGUUCUGCAAUCUGUCAUCACGAUCCACUGCAACAUCCUUUGACCUGGACUGACGCUAUGGUGGUCGCUUAUCACUCCCUCAAAAGCACCCUUCGUUCUGCCCCUGGGGUUACCUGAUCACUUCAAGCCCUUCCACCUCUAUGCCUGUGAACACCAAGGCACGGCCUCUGGGGAGCAUGAGGGGGGGGAUUGCAGCAUUGUGCGUUUUUAUCCAAAACAUUAGACAUUGUUGCUCAAGGCUUACCUGCGUGUCUGGGGGCUGUCUCCGCAUGUGCUUUGAUGGUUUUGGAUGCGGAAAAAUUGGUUUUGUCUCACCCACUGAUCUUGCACUCGUCACAUCAAGUUAAACAGGUGUUGCAAAAUUUACAGACCCAUUAAAUUAAUUUAUCAGUAAUUUAAUAGAUAAUUAAAUUAACAUAUGACUGUUUAUUCUCUGUUCUACUAACAAUCUCAAAAUUCGUGUCACAUCCUCUUUUGAUAAUGUAGGUCGCGCUCUCGCACGCCUCCUUAAUUCUCGGGAUGAUACUUGGGAUGACAUUGAUAUUGUCUGUCUAAAAAUCGUACAUACUACUAGUAUCAGGUCUGAUCUCUCCUCCAGCCCUCUAGGGAUGGGGGAAGUACUCUUUGUUGAUGGUUCUUGUUCUAAACGGUUCUUGUUUUAUAAUUUAUGAUAUUUAUCAUACCUCCGUGGUUAUUGUGUGUGUUCACUGCCUGAUAUUCUGCACGCUCUUUCUCAUUUGAUUUUUGUCAUCUUGAUUGUGGACAAAUUCUCUAAAUGGGUAGAAGUUUUUUUUUCUGUUUUCGAGGGAACACGAAGGUAGUUACUCUGGCAAAAGAAAUAGUACCUAGUUAUAAUAAUAAUAAUACAUUUUAUUUAUAAGUGCCUUUCAAGGUACCCAAGGACACUGGACAGUAAAAAAAGAAAAACAAACAAUAAAAGCAGAACAAUAAAAUAACAACAAUAAAAUAAUAAGAAAUCAAUAAUAAUUAUUUUUAUAGUUAUGGGGUUUCAAAUGCCAUAGACUCAGACAAAGGUACCCCUUUCACCUCAAAAGUCACACAAAACCUUUGUAAGUAUCUCUAAACUAAACUGGUGUUUUCACACUCCUCAAUCCUCUGGUAUCGUAGAACGUAUUAAUCGAACAUUGAAAGACAAAUUAAUUAAGGCCAUGCAGGACACAGGUUUGGUUCUGUAAUCCAUAAUUCAUUCUGGCUGAAAUUCGUGUGACACCAAGAAAUUAUUUUUGGAAGAUCUUUCCCUCUCCCCUGGAAGAAGGGAACUCCGGCUCCGGGUACCUCUGAUUUGAAAAUGCAUAUGGAUGAGUAUUCUGCAGCCCUUAUAGAUAAGUUGCAUAAAAUUUGUACCAAGGUCAAUAAUACAAUAUUAUCUCCACCACACACCCCUUUCACGUGAGAGACAAGUGCUGGUGUGACUUUUUGAACGAUUUGGACAAUUGGGAAAACCUAGAUAUAGUGGGCCUGCAGACAUAGUCGCCAUUACUUUUACUGCUGUUUUAACUGAUCUUUUUCCACAGUGGAUCCAUGCCACUCGAUUGAAGAAGGCUCCAUAACAAAGUUGUGUUACAAUGACAAGUUUGCUGCUAUUAACGCUUUUUGUGUCCCUAUCUAGUCUCCCUCUGGCCAGUUUUCUCUCUCUCUGUCUCUCUAUUUCUGAGCUCUACACAGAUUCGACUGAGAAUCCUCAAGACGUUGUGAACAAAGAGGGGAAGAGAUCUUGUGCCCCGUUUAGGACCAAUCAUCCUCACUACAACCAUGACAGUCCUCAUCACGGGUUUCGUGACUUCAUUGUUGCUCGGGGCAGGGCUACCCGCCCGAGCCUUCGUGACUGCUUCAUCUUUGCUUGGGGCAGGGUUACCCGCCCGAGCCUUCAGGACCACUUCAUUGCUCGGAGCAGGGUUACCUGCUCGAGCUGGACUUCAUUGCUCGGAGCAGGGUUACCCGCUCGAGCUGGACAACAUCUUCUGGCAAUUCGCUAGCUGCACAAGCGCACACCACAUGAAUGUGUUAUGUCUUUCAUCUGAUACCGUUUUCUACUAUUAUUACACAUCUCUAUGCUCUGAAACUCUGUAUUUUUACAGGACUCUGUUCUCACUAUAGGUCGAUAUGCCUUCUAAUUUCAUUUUCCCUCACUGUUUUAGAACAAAUUACUCUGAAGGAAGUAGCGUGUAUUUGGGACGAAUUAAGAGGUUUUGAGUUUCUCUAAGCUCCGGUGAGGUGGGACGAUGGCUGAUCGGGCAUGCCCGCCCUCUGAGCACCAAUAUACGUCAAGAAGGGCAAAGAUUAACUCAAGAUUAAUUCUCGAUGUAAUCACAUAUAUGAUCAUGAGGUGAUAAUGAUCAAAUACGAUCCUAGGAUUUGAUAAUAGUGAUACUAUUAUCAAAGGGGGGGAUUGUUAGGUUUAUAUAAGUAUUAUUCUUGACCAAGAAGGCAGUAAUUUAUUAAAAUGGUGACAAAAUUAAGGAUUAAUUUCGGUUCAGUUAAAAUGACCUUCUGUCUCGGCUGGACAUUGUUUGGGAACAUUUUGUUUAUUUUGAUAUGAGAUGUUUUGCUUAUAACUGUCUUUGUUUAGGUUUGUUCUUAUUUUUUGUUUACUUUCUUAUAACAUAUCUUUGUUGAAAAAUUCCGUAUGUGCAUAAGCAAUGACCUUUAAAAUCUGUUUGUACCUUGCUAUCAUGUCAUAUGAUCAGAAAUAUGUUAUUAUGUUAUGAUUUACACACACACUGAUGGAGAUUAUUUGACCUGCCCCCAGAUCAAGCACACACACAUACAUCUGAACAUUCCAUUAGAACAGUGAUGUAAUUAAGAUGUGACACACACACACACACACACACACACACACACACACACAUAGACACAGAUAUCAAAAUGAUGUCACUUACUCACACCCUCCCAUAGAGAGACACACACACCCCCCUCUCUGAGGUCACAUACACACACACACACACACACACACACACUCGACAGAUACAAUAGCCGUUUAGAGAGAUUAUAAUUUGUUAUAAAAGGUGUUUGUAAUCUUUCAACUUUGGCGAGAAUACUGUGAUUAAACAGCAGUGAAACCGA